rnacentral:rRNA from 1 species
UGGGGAAUAUUGCACAAUGGGCGAAAGCCUGAUGCAGCGACGCCGCGUGAGGGAUGACGGCCUUCGGGUUGUAAACCUCUUUCAGUAGGGACGAAGCGCAAGUGACGGUACCUGCAGAAGAAGCACCGGCUAACUACGUGCCAGCAGCCGCGGUAAUACGUAAGGUGCGAGCGUUGUCCGGAAUUACUGGGCGUAAAGAGCUCGUAGGCGGUUUGUCACGUCGUCUGUGAAAUCCUAGGGCUUAACCCUGGACGUGCAGGCGAUACGGGCUGACUUGAGUACUACAGGGGAGACUGGAAUUUCUGGUGUAGCGGUGGAAUGCACAGAUAUCAGGAAGAACACCGAUGGCGAAGGCAGGUCUCUGGGUAGUAACUGACGCUGAGGAGCGAAAGCAUGGGUAGCGAACAGG